UGUCCUGGGAAUUUGGUCUUCCCGUGCCCUGGGCAAGUAGGCAGACUCCAUUACCCAGCAACAGAUACUUUAUAAGCGGCUGCUACAGUGGGAAUGUUAAAUACUGGACCCAAGGUGUGACUGGUAUAAUCGUGUGAUCUGAGAGUAAUUGGACGCUUGUUACACCCUGAAAAUAAUUGCAAUCCUGUAUUCAUUGUCAGAAGCUUAAGCUGUAACGCCGUCCAGGAAUUACAGGGCAACACACACCACAAAGCGCCAGCACAAAGCGCCAGCACAAAGCGCCAGCACAAAGCGCCAGCACAAAGCGCCAGCACAAAGCGCCAGCACAAAGCGCCCCAUAGAAAACAACAAGGACAAAGGAGAAAACACACAGAAAAUAGAAAUUAAAAAAGGAGAACAAAUUAAAAAAAGAAAAGCAAAACCAAACAACAAAAACACAAUACACAGAAAACACACAUACUAGAAGAAACAGAAACAAGAACUGCAAAAAAAGAGGUAAAAAAAGAAUAAACAAUCGAAACACCAAAACAAAGAUCUAACCAUAAAACACAAAAAGCAAAAACAAAACAAAGCACAAACACAAAAACACGCACACACACAAAAAAGGAAAACUAAGAGAAAAAAACAGCAAAUGAAAACAAUCACAAUUAAAGCAAUAAAUAGAAAAAGAAUAAAGAACAAUGGAAAAAAAAACAAAAAAACAUUUAAAAAAAGACAAAAGAAAAAAAAAACCAAGCCCAGAAAGUGCCCCAUAAAAUAAAUCAAUAGAUAAAAAAAACAAAGACAAAUGAAAAAACACACACCAAAUAGAAAUGAAAAUAGAUGAAAAAAAACCCCAAAAAACCAAAAAAAAAAGAAAAUUCACAAAACCCACACAUAUUAGAAGAAAUAGAAACACAAGGAAUGUAAAGAACAAAAAGCAAACGAAACAGCAGAACAAUAAUCUAAUCAGAGAACACAAAAAAGCAAAAACAAAACAAAAACAAUACACAAAAGCACGCACAAAAAAAAAGAAAAUAAAAUCUAGGGAAAAAAAAUGAAUACAAUCACAUUUAAAGCAACAACAACAAAAAAGACACAGAAAAACAAAAAAACACUAAAAAACCAAGAAAAACUAAGCGCACAAGGCACCCCACAGAAAACAACACACGAAAUAGAAAUUAAAAAACGGGAAAAAAAAGCAACAACAACAAAAACAAACCACACAUAUAAAACGAAACAGAAAAAAGAUUUUCCAAAAAAAAAAAACCAAAAGAAAAAAACAAAUGAAACAAAAACCCAAUCAUAAAAAAAGCCAGGGCGCAAAAGCCAGGGCGCAAAAGCCAGGGCGCAAAAGCCAGGGCGCAAAAGCCAGGGCGCAAAAGCCAGGGCGCAAAAGCCAGGGCGCAAAAGCCAGGGCGCAAAAGCCAGGGCGCAAAAGCCAG
ensembl:lncRNA